CCUACGGGAGGCAGCAGUGAGGAAUAUUGGUCAAUGGCCGGAAGGCUGAACCAGCCAAGUCGCGUGAGGGACGACUGCCCUAUGGGUUGUAAACCUCGUUUAUAAGGGAAGAAUAAAUGCUACGUGUAGCAUGCUGCCUGUACCUUAUGAAUAAGCAUCGGCUAACUCCGUGCCAGCAGCCGCGGUAAUACGGAGGAUGCGAGCGUUAUCCGGAUUUAUUGGGUUUAAAGGGUUCGUAGUCGGUUUUUUAAGUUAGUGGUUAAACGUCGGGGCUUAACCUUGAUUUGCCAUUACUACUGUACGACUCGAGUUCAGACGAGGUAGGCGGAAUAAGUUAAGUAGCGGUGAAAUGCUUAGAUAUAACUUAGGACUCCGAUAGCGAAGGCAGCUUACCAGACUGCGACUGACGCUGAAGCACGAGAGCGUGGGUAGCGAACAGGAUUAGAUACCCCUUGUAGUC
rnacentral:rRNA from 1 species